rnacentral:lncRNA from 1 species
AAUUUUUUUUUCCCUUUUAGUUUUAUAUUUAUUAAAUAUCCAAUUAAUAUUCACAUCCAUUUGAUAUUUGAUUCUCACCCGAAAUCAUUUUUAUCGGAUAUCAAUUUAAAUUUUAGCGUCUGAUUAAUAGAGUCCAGCUAUUAUGCUAUCAAUAGCAUGAAGCACUCGAUACUACUAAGUUUUUUACUGUUAGAUCCACCCCUAUGAUCGUUUUCAUCUAUUAGAUCAUACUAUUCAACCAACCACCUACUCAACCCUAGAGAGCCCACAUCAUUUUAACCGCACAUCUCUCAAUCCAAUGGUCGAAAACUUGGUAACACCAAUGAUUUGGUGCUAUUAAUAGCAUAGUAGUCUAGUUCCUCGAAUUUGGAUACAGAUUCUACAUAAAAAUAUAAAUAUUGGUUCUGGUUUUCAGAAAAUAUUUUAGAAAAUAAUUUUUUAACUAAAAAGGUAAUUU